rnacentral:rRNA from 1 species
AACAGACGAGGAGCUUGCUCCUCUGACGUUAGCGGCGGACGGGUGAGUAACACGUGGAUAACCUACCUAUAAGACUGGGAUAACUUCGGGAAACCGGAGCUAAUACCGGAUAAUAUAUUGAACCGCAUGGUUCAAUAGUGAAAGACGGUUUUGCUGUCACUUAUAGAUGGAUCCGCGCCGCAUUAGCUAGUUGGUAAGGUAACGGCUUACCAAGGCAACGAUGCGUAGCCGACCUGAGAGGGUGAUCGGCCACACUGGAACUGAGACACGGUCCAGACUCCUACGGGAGGCAGCAGCAGGGAAUCUUCCGCAAUGGGCGAAAGCCUGACGGAGCAACGCCGCGUGAGUGAUGAAGGUCUUCGGAUCGUAAAACUCUGUUAUUAGGGAAGAACAAAUGUGUAAGUAACUAUGCACGUCUUGACGGUACCUAAUCAGAAAGCCACGGCUAACUACGUGCCAGCAGCCGCGGUAAUACGUAGGUGGCAAGCGUUAUCCGGAAUUAUUGGGCGUAAAGCGCGCGUAGGCGGUUUUUUAAGUCUGAUGUGAAAGCCCACGGCUCAACCGUGGAGGGUCAUUGGAAACUGGAAAACUUGAGUGCAGAAGAGGAAAGUGGAAUUCCAUGUGUAGCGGUGAAAUGCGCAGAGAUAUGGAGGAACACCAGUGGCGAAGGCGACUUUCUGGUCUGUAACUGACGCUGAUGUGCGAAAGCGUGGGGAUCAAACAGGAUU